rnacentral:rRNA from 1 species
GGGUUGUGAGGUUAAGCGACUAAGCGUACACGGUGGAUGCCCUGGCAGUCAGAGGCGAUGAAGGACGUGCUAAUCUGCGAAAAGCGUCGGUAAGGUGAUAUGAACCGUUAUAACCGGCGAUGUCCGAAUGGGGAAACCCAGUGUGAUUCGUCACACUAUCGUUAACUGAAUACAUAGGUUAACGAGGCGAACCGGGGGAACUGAAACAUCUAAGUACCCCGAGGAAAAGAAAUCAACCGAGAUUCCCCCAGUAGCGGCGAGCGAACGGGGAGCAGCCCAGAGUCUGAAUCAGCUUGUGUGUUAGUGGAACGGUCUGGAAAGUCCGACGGUACAGGGUGAUAGUCCCGUACACCAAAAUGCACAGGCUGUGAACUCGAAGAGUAGGGCGGGACACGUGGUAUCCUGUCUGAAUAUGGGGGGACCAUCCUCCAAGGCUAAAUACUCCUGACUGACCGAUAGUGAACCAGUACCGUGAGGGAAAGGCGAAAAGAACCCCGGCGAGGGGAGUGAAAAAGAACCUGAAACCGUGUACGUACAAGCAGUGGGAGCACCUUCGGGUGUGACUGCGUACCUUUUGUAUAAUGGGUCAGCGACUUAUAUUCUGUAGCAAGGUUAACCGUAUAGGGGAGCCGCAGGGAAACCGAGUCUUAACUGGGCGUUAAGUUGCAGGGUAUAGACCCGAAACCCGGUGAUCUAGCCAUGGGCAGGUUGAAGGUUGGGUAACACUAACUGGAGGACCGAACCGACUAAUGUUGAAAAAUUAGCGGAUGACUUGUGGCUGGGGGUGAAAGGCCAAUCAAACCGGGAGAUAGCUGGUUCUCCCCGAAAGCUAUUUAGGUAGCGCCUCGUGAACUCAUCUUCGGGGGUAGAGCACUGUUUCGGCUAGGGGGUCAUCCCGACUUACCAACCCGAUGCAAACUACGAAUACCGAAGAAUGUUAUCACGGGAGACACACGGCGGGUGCUAACGUCCGUCGUGAAGAGGGAAACAACCCAGACCGCCAGCUAAGGUCCCAAAGUCAUGGUUAAGUGGGAAACGAUGUGGGAAGGCACAGACAGCCAGGAUGUUGGCUUAGAAGCAGCCAUCAUUUAAAGAAAGCGUAAUAGCUCACUGGUCGAGUCGGCCUGCGCGGAAGAUGUAACGGGGCUAAACCAUGCACCGAAGCUGCGGCAGCGACACUAUGUGUUGUUGGGUAGGGGAGCGUUCUGUAAGCCUGCGAAGGUGACCUGUGAGGGUUGCUGGAGGUAUCAGAAGUGCGAAUGCUGACAUAAGUAACGAUAAAGCGGGUGAAAAGCCCGCUCGCCGGAAGACCAAGGGUUCCUGUCCAACGUUAAUCGGGGCAGGGUGAGUCGACCCCUAAGGCGAGGCCGAAAGGCGUAGUCGAUGGGAAACAGGUUAAUAUUCCUGUACUUGGUGUUACUGCGAAGGGGGGACGGAGAAGGCUAUGUUAGCCGGGCGACGGUUGUCCCGGUUUAAGCAUGUAGGCUGGUUAUCCAGGCAAAUCCGGAUAAUCAAGGCUGAGGUGUGAUGACGAGGCACUACGGUGCUGAAGUAACAAAUGCCCUGCUUCCAGGAAAAGCCUCUAAGCAUCAGGUAACAUCAAAUCGUACCCCAAACCGACACAGGUGGUCAGGUAGAGAAUACCAAGGCGCUUGAGAGAACUCGGGUGAAGGAACUAGGCAAAAUGGUGCCGUAACUUCGGGAGAAGGCACGCUGGUGUGUAGGUGAAGCCCCUGCGGGUGGAGCUGAGACCAGUCGAAGAUACCAGCUGGCUGCAACUGUUUAUUAAAAACACAGCACUGUGCAAACACGAAAGUGGACGUAUACGGUGUGACGCCUGCCCGGUGCCGGAAGGUUAAUUGAUGGGGUUAUCCGUAAGGAGAAGCUCUUGAUCGAAGCCCCGGUAAACGGCGGCCGUAACUAUAACGGUCCUAAGGUAGCGAAAUUCCUUGUCGGGUAAGUUCCGACCUGCACGAAUGGCGUAAUGAUGGCCAGGCUGUCUCCACCCGAGACUCAGUGAAAUUGAACUCGCUGUGAAGAUGCAGUGUACCCGCGGCAAGACGGAAAGACCCCGUGAACCUUUACUAUAGCUUGACACUGAACAUUGAGCCUUGAUGUGUAGGAUAGGUGGGAGGCUUUGAAGCGUGGACGCCAGUCUGCGUGGAGCCAACCUUGAAAUACCACCCUUUAAUGUUUGAUGUUCUAACGUUGGCCCCUUACCGGGGUUGCGGACAGUGUCUGGUGGGUAGUUUGACUGGGGCGGUCUCCUCCCAAAGCGUAACGGAGGAGCACGAAGGUUAGCUAAUCCUGGUCGGACAUCAGGAGGUUAGUGCAAUGGCAUAAGCUAGCUUGACUGCGAGCGUGACGGCGCGAGCAGGUGCGAAAGCAGGUCAUAGUGAUCCGGUGGUUCUGAAUGGAAGGGCCAUCGCUCAACGGAUAAAAGGUACUCCGGGGAUAACAGGCUGAUACCGCCCAAGAGUUCAUAUCGACGGCGGUGUUUGGCACCUCGAUGUCGGCUCAUCACAUCCUGGGGCUGAAGUAGGUCCCAAGGGUAUGGCUGUUCGCCAUUUAAAGUGGUACGCGAGCUGGGUUUAGAACGUCGUGAGACAGUUCGGUCCCUAUCUGCCGUGGGCGCUGGAGAAUUGAGGGGGGCUGCUCCUAGUACGAGAGGACCGGAGUGGACGCAUCACUGGUGUUCGGGUUGUCAUGCCAAUGGCACUGCCCGGUAGCUAAAUGCGGAAGAGAUAAGUGCUGAAAGCAUCUAAGCACGAAACUUGCCCGAGAUGAGUUCUCCCUGAGACUUUAAGUCUCCUGAAGGAACGUUGAAGACGACGACGUUGAUAGGCCGGGUGUGUAAGCGCAGCGAUGCGUUGAGCUAACCGGUACUAAUGAACCGUGAGGCUUAACCUUACAACGCCGAAG